rnacentral:rRNA from 1 species
AUUGAACGCUGGCGGCAUGCCUUACACAUGCAAGUCGAACGGCAGCAUAGGAGCUUGCUCCUGAUGGCGAGUGGCGAACGGGUGAGUAAUAUAUCGGAACGUGCCCUAGAGUGGGGGAUAACUAGUCGAAAGACUAGCUAAUACCGCAUACGAUCUACGGAUGAAAGUGGGGGAUCGCAAGACCUCAUGCUCCUGGAGCGGCCGAUAUCUGAUUAGCUAGUUGGUGGGGUAAAAGCCUACCAAGGCGACGAUCAGUAGCUGGUCUGAGAGGACGACCAGCCACACUGGGACUGAGACACGGCCCAGACUCCUACGGGAGGCAGCAGUGGGGAAUUUUGGACAAUGGGGGCAACCCUGAUCCAGCAAUGCCGCGUGAGUGAAGAAGGCCUUCGGGUUGUAAAGCUCUUUUGUCAGGGAAGAAACGGUAGUAGCUAAUAUCUAUUACUAAUGACGGUACCUGAAGAAUAAGCACCGGCUAACUACGUGCCAGCAGCCGCGGUAAUACGUAGGGUGCAAGCGUUAAUCGGAAUUACUGGGCGUAAAGCGUGCGCAGGCGGUUGUGUAAGUCAGAUGUGAAAUCCCCGGGCUCAACCUGGGAAUUGCAUUUGAGACUGCACGGCUAGAGUGUGUCAGAGGGGGGUAGAAUUCCACGUGUAGCAGUGAAAUGCGUAGAUAUGUGGAGGAAUACCGAUGGCGAAGGCAGCCCCCUGGGAUAACACUGACGCUCAUGCACGAAAGCGUGGGGAGCAAACAGG